AUUUAAAUAAUUUAAUAAAAAUAUUGAUUUGUGGAGUCAAAAAUAUGAAAAGAUCAUUUUAAAUU
rnacentral:tRNA from 2 species